rfam:'Osedax' symbiont bacterium Rs2_46_30_T18 BD02T18_scaffold_543, whole genome shotgun sequence.
UUGCGGCGCCAAAGUCCCAGAUGCACAAGCGGCUACCGAAGCUGCAAACACUCUGCUGCCAACGGCCAUGGCCGGGGUAAACUUUGCCUUGCACACCG